UACGUAGGGGUCUAGCGUUGUCCGGAAUUAUUGGGCGUAAAGCGCGUGUAGGCGGCUCGGUAAGUCCGGUGUGAAACCUUGGGGCUCAACCCCAAGCCUGCACUGGAUACUGUCGAGCUCGAGUCCGGGAGGGGAGAGCGGAAUUCCUAGUGUAGCGGUGAAAUGCGCAGAUAUUAGGAAGAACACCGGUGGCGAAGGCGGCUCUCUGGAACGGUACUGACGCUGAGACGCGAAAGCGUGGGGAGCGAACAGG
rnacentral:rRNA from 1 species